CGGCAGCAGUUUACCUCCAGGCUGAUGUUUUGCCCCACCUCGCAUGUCUGUCCAAAAUCUUUCAAAAAGCAAAUGUCAACUUUUUACAAAUCAAGGAGCAGGUUCCUGUCACAAUUCAGUCUCUGGCUGGACAGACUCCACUCCCUGGAUCAUGCCUGCCUCGCCUCCAUCAGGACCUCGAUGAUCCCCAAGGACUCGGAGCCAGCACGAGGAGGAGAGGAAUAGGAGAGGGCGAGAUGUCAUGAAGCGCUGAGGGAGGAGCAGUGAGCCAGAACCCAGCGAGAGGUCAUCCACCCUUACAUAACUGGCCUGGAAACACACCUGGAGAGGAGGUUUCAUGAUCUGGACAUUCUUGGGGCCUUCAGUAUCUUGGGACCCGCACCGCAAUCAACCACUCUACAAGAUGAUACAAUCAACAUCUCUCAUCU